rnacentral:rRNA from 1 species
AGCAGCCGCGGUAAUUCCAGCUCCAAUAGCGUAUAUUAAAGUUGUUGCAGUUAAAAAGCUCGUAGUUGAAUUUCGGGAUUUGUCAGUUGGUCGGGCUUCACUGUUCGUACUGAUUUGAUGGAUUCUUACCUUCUGAAUAACCAGCAUGCUAUUAAGUUAGUGCGUUGGGGAAGCAGAUCUAUUACCUUGAAAAAUUAGAGUGCUUAAAGCGGGCUAGUGCUUGAAUAGAUUAGCAUGGAAUAAUAAAAUAGGACGGCAUGGUUCUAUUUUGUUGGUUUCUAGGAUCACCGUAAUGAUUAAUAGGGAUAGUUGGGGGCAUUAGUAUUCAAUUGUCAGAGGUGAAAUUCUUGGAUUUAUUGAAGACUAACUUCUGCGAAAGCAUUUGCCAAGGAUGUUUUCAUUAAUCAAGAACGAAAGUUAGGGGAUCGAAGACGAUCAGAUACCGUCGUAGUCUUAACCAUAAACUAUGCCGACUAGGAAUCGGACGAUGUUAAUUUUUAAUGAACU